rnacentral:rRNA from 1 species
CAAUAGCGUAUAUUAAAGUUGUUGCAGUUAAAAAGCUCGUAGUUGGAUUUCUGCUGAGGACGAUCGGUCCGCCCACUGGGUGAGUAUCUGGCUCGGCCUUGGCAUCUUCUUGGAGAACGUUGCUGCACUUGACUGUGUGGCGCGGUAUCCAGGACUUUUACUUUGAGGAAAUUAGAGUGUUUCAAGCAGGCGCACGCCUUGAAUACAUUAGCAUGGAAUAAUGAGAUAGGACCUUGGUUCUAUUUUGUUGGUUUCUAGAGCUGAGGUAAUGAUUAAUAGGGAUAGUUGGGGGCAUUCGUAUUUAACUGUCAGAGGUGAAAUUCUCGGAUUUAUGAAAGACGAACAACUGCGAAAGCAUUUGCCAAGGAUGUUUUCAUUAA